rnacentral:rRNA from 1 species
ACGGGGCCCGCACAAGCAGUGGAGCAUGUGGUUAAUGAAGCAACGCGAAGAACCUUACCAGGUUCUUGACAUCCCGAUGCUAUUUCUAGAGAUAGAAAGUUACUUCGGUACAUCGGUGACAGGUGGUGCAUGGUUGUCGUCAGCUCGUGUCGUGAGAUGUUGGGUUAAGUCCCGCAACGAGCGCAACCCCUAUUGUUAGUUGCCAUCAUUCAGUUGGGCACUCUAGCGAGACUGCCGGUAAUAAACCGGAGGAAGGUGGGGAUGACGUCAAAUCAUCAUGCCCCUUAUGACCUGGGCUACACACGUGCUACAAUGGUUGGUACAACGAGUUGCGAGUCGGUGACGGCGAGCUAAUCUCUUAAAGCCAAUCUCAGUUCGGAUUGUAGGCUGCAACUCGCCUACAUGAAGUCGGAAUCGCUAGUAAUCGCGGAUCAGCACGCCGCGGUCGAAUACGUUCCCGGGCCUU